AUUGAACGCUGGCGGAAUGCUUUACACAUGCAAGUCGAGCGGCAGCGCGGGGGCAACCCUGGCGGCGAGCGGCGAACGGGUGAGUAAUGCAUCGGAACGUACCCAGUCGUGGGGGAUAACGUGGCGAAAGUCACGCUAAUACCGCAUACGUCCUGAGGGAGAAAGCAGGGGGAUCGCAAGACCUUGCGCGAUUGGAGCGGCCGAUGUCUGAUUAGCUAGUUGGUGGGGUAAAGGCCUACCAAGGCGACGAUCAGUAGCUGGUCUGAGAGGACGAUCAGCCACACUGGGACUGAGACACGGCCCAGACUCCUACGGGAGGCAGCAGUGGGGAAUUUUGGACAAAUGGGCGAAAGCCUGAUCCAGCCAUUCCGCGUGAGUGAAGAAGGCCU
rnacentral:rRNA from 1 species